GGCACGUUUGUAAAAUAAAAAGACAGCCCAUUUAAGGAAAAGCUUCGAUGUAAAAAACAAACAAACAUUCACAAAAACUGAAAAUUCUAUUAUUGCAAACCCGUCUCAUUCUUUUGUAAAAAAUGAAAAUUUAGUUUUAAAAACAGUUAAUUAAUUUCUUUUAUAGAUAUUUCAUUGGUAAUGUCCAAUACUAUUUUUUUUAUCAAAUACACCUUGACGUUCGGAUUUUCUUUGUUAAGAAGAACUGCAUAUUUGCCACUGAAAGCAGAUGGUCUUUCGAACGUAAUAAAAGGCCGCAUUCGCUUUUUUAACAUAGUAUUAUUUGGAGAACAAGAAAAGUAAAACAUUAAGUUAUAAAAAAAUUAAGUGAAAUCGACUGUGAGAUCAUACAAAAAAUGGCUGUUAACGGAAUUAUAAUGUUAUGUAUCCUUGCCUUUUGUGCAUGUACUUCCGCUAUGGUACAUGGCGACUACACAUGCCUUGCAUUAUGCGACCCUCCGUACGAAGAGUGUUUUAAGCAAAUCAACAAAGUUGAAGAUACUUACUUUGUUUGCAUGGUUGAGCGAAGCAAGUGCGUAAAACGAUGCGAAAAAUUUAAACUGAUAUCAAAAGAAUCGGAUAAUUUGGAUCAAUAAGUCUCUAACUUUAGUCCCAAAAAAUUUAUGCAUUUAAUCAAAUUAAAUGUAAAA